UGGGGAAUAUUGCACAAUGGGCGAAAGCCUGAUGCAGCAACGCCGCGUGAGGGACGACGGCCUUCGGGUUGUAAACCUCUUUUAGCAAGGAAGAAGCGAAAGUGACGGUACUUGCAGAAAAAGCGCCGGCUAACUACGUGCCAGCAGCCGCGGUAAUACGUAGGGCGCAAGCGUUAUCCGGAAUUAUUGGGCGUAAAGAGCUCGUAGGCGGUUUGUCGCGUCUGCUGUGAAAACCCGAGGCUCAACCUCGGGCCUGCAGUGGGUACGGGCAGACUAGAGUGCGGUAGGGGAGAUUGGAACUCCUGGUGUAGCGGUGGAAUGCGCAGAUAUCAGGAAGAACACCGAUGGCGAAGGCAGAUCUCUGGGCCGUAACUGACGCUGAGGAGCGAAAGGGUGGGGAGCAAAACAGGCUUAGAUACCCUGGUAGUCCACCCGUAAACGUUGGGAACUAGUUGUGGGGUCCAUUCCACGGAUUCCGUGACGCAGCUAACGCAUUAAGUUCCCCGCCUGGGGAGUACGGCCGCAAGGCUAAAACUUGAAAUGAAUUGACGGGGUCAUAGCUG
rnacentral:rRNA from 1 species